rnacentral:misc_RNA from 1 species
GAUGAAGAACGCAGCGAAAUGCGAUAAGUAAUGUGAAUUGCAGAAUUCAGUGAAUCAUCGAAUCUUUGAACGCACAUUGCGCCCUUUGGUACUCCAAAGGGCAUGCCUGUUCGAGCGUCAUUUGUACCCUCAAGCUUUGCUUGGUGUUGGGCGUCUUGUCUCCAGUCCGCUGGAGACUCGCCUUAAAGUCAUUGGCAGCCGGCCUACUGGUUUCGGAGCGCAGCACAAGUCGCACUCUUUUCCAGCCAAGGUCAGUGUCCAACAAGCCUUUUUUCAACUUUUGACCUCGGAUCAGGUAGGGAUACCCGCUGAACUUAAGCAUAUCAAUAAGCGGAGGA